rnacentral:lncRNA from 1 species
AGGCUAGUAUUGGUGCAUAGUUUUUCAUGAAAUCAGCAGCCAGCAUUUUGCUAUACACGAUGAUGUUAAGUUCGUUCUAUAUAUAUUGUUUUAAUUGAGCGACUUUUAUUUUACAAUUAUGUUUUAUAUAUUUUGUUUUUUUUUUGUAAUGUAUAUGAGAUUCAUGGUCGAAAUGGUGAAUAAUGUGUAUUAAGUUUAGUAGUGGAGAUAAUGUCUAUUAGGUUUAGUAGUGAAGAUACAUUGGAAGGAAAUGGUGAAUUGUAUGUUAUAGCCUCAGCAUUUGAAGUUUAAGUUUAGACAUUUAGCUUUGUUUUAGUUUAAAAUGUAUUUGUUUUUUUUUGUUAUUGUUAUGAAAAAGUAAUGGUGGGAACGAAAAA